rnacentral:lncRNA from 1 species
GGGAAAUGUGGCCCAACUUAUGGUCCAGCUUUAACCAGUGACUCUACUGUGCCUGGAGGGCUUGCUAAGAAGGAUCAUGAGACUGCUUCUGAUGCUAAUGGGAAAACGUCCUUUGAUCCUGAGUUAAGUGGGCUUCAUGUUGGAAUGGAUUAAUGUGGCAGGAAUGAACAUGUUCUAUUUGCCUCUCCAGAUGUGCUCUGUUUUCACUCUGCCGUGUGCCUGACCUCUACCAUCUACACCAGGGGAUUUCCUUGCCCUCCAGCUUCCAGUUGGGUUUGGCCAAUGGGAAACCCAUCAGCUCAGGACGGAAGCAGGGAAUACAGGCUCUGAUGAGAGUGGGAAAAUCAACCAAAAACAAAAAUAAAAGUGUCACAGGAACAUGGUGGUUGCAGACCUGAGACCUGCGGGAAAGAAGAAUUAUCCUAGCUGGCCAGUGAUGAAAUCUCCAGCUCCAGAGGGAAGCCCCUACUCCUCUUAACCUUGAGGGAGUCCUCUUUGUCCAGGAUACUCCAGCAUACUCCAACUAUGGUUGGUAUUUCUUGAGCUCUUUCAAAUGAAGUUUUAA